UUCUGAUAAGGAUCCCCAUCCUAGAGAAAAGAAAUUUUAAAUCCAUCAUUUUAGUAUGUUCUACCUUGCAUAACUGAGUAUGCUUUAAAUAAGUAAUAAGUAAAUAACUUACUAAAAAGUACAGAAAUUGUUUCAAUAGUUGUAUCUAUGAAUGCCUUGUUAUCUACACAUACACACAAAAAAAAAGAAAGUAUCUUGCUUCGUUGUUACUUUCAAGAGGCAAUACUAAAGGACAGUAUCAGAGAACAAUUUGAAGGAGCAUGCUAUUCAUUUCAGUUCACUGUAAUGACUGAGCAUUUUCUGUUUUUCUAAUCCCUUCCCCCUUCCCUAGGUAGGUAGUAAGCAGCCUUUAUAAAACAUCUCACGACUAACUGAGAAGAAGGAAGGAGAGGGAAGCCGCAGACCUUCCAGCCUGUCCUCAGCCCUCAGCCAGCAGCAGCCCGCCCAGAGCACCCUGCAGCCCUACCUUGUGCCUCUGCCGCCGUGCUGAAAAUUCUAAGUUCAUUUCCUAAUCGUCAAUUAUCAGGCCUUAGCAAGAAGUGAGCAGUGCUAUUCUACACUGGUUUGGGUUGUGUACGAGGAAUCCACCAGUUACUGAGUGACAAAAGAAGUGAGGAGUGGAGCAGUGCUACAGCUGGGCCUGGAGCAGACUGGUGAGACCCUCUGCUGACCUUUCUUGGCAAGGGAGUAUAUAUUGCCUGCAGACUAAAACUUCAUGCAACUGUAUCAAAAAUCUUACUUGCAAGGUAGACAUGUUACCAGGAAAUGGCCCUCCAUGCCACUGUUUGCCAUUAUGAGGGCAAGUGGAUGUACUGAGUUGUCACCAAAAAAAAACAUUAACUCGGACCCGCAUGAAACACAGCUGA